AUGGCAGUGACCUGAGCUGCUGUAGAAGCAACACAUGACCCUUAACCGGAUGCACCACAAGGGAACUCUGAGACAGAAUUUCUAUUAUUCAUUUCACAAACCUUUGCUAAGUACAGCUAUCUCCUUAGACGCUGAAGAGGCCGAGGCCAAUCCACACGGUCGUACAGUUCUAGGGGCAGAAAGGGGUUCACAUGUGGCCUAGUUCCGAGUUGUUCUCUUCCAGACAGAAGCUCCAGGAGGGGAGGUGUUCGGCUAGAGGUUGCCGGGUGAUAAGCCAGAGUGCCAGAGCCAGACUCUUGAGUGUAAGGAACUCUGCCUGUGUGACUCCCAACACUCCCAGACAGUAUGUCACAGGGAGGACGGGCCUGUUCUAUAGGGCCGGACACUGGGGUUCAAAGAAGUACAGGGACCUAUUAUACGCCCAGUGACUCAAUGGCCGAACUGUGGCCUCGGCCACAUGCUCCAUCCCCCAGCCCCUCCCUGCCCCCUCCCAGCACACAGUCAGUCCUGCUUCACAGAGCACUUUCUGCUCUGCUCCAAGCUGCCCCCGCCUGGCUUGUAAAGAGAAGGGAACUGUAGUCCCAGCCCUGGAAGGGUUUGGUCAGCUGGAGAGAACGCAUGUAAACAAUGGCUCUCAGACCAGCCCAGAGGAGACGGAGGAAGAAUGGAAGGUGGCAGAGGAAAGGAUCCCGUCCCGUCCUCCAGGAUCUGAUGGCCCCGGAGCAAGGGCUGCCGGGCCCACGGACGCUGCUGACUCUUCAGAACGUGCUGACAUGGAGCCAGGUCAGUCCCCUUGUCUGCUCUGAUUUUCUGCGUCAUCAGCUGCAAACCUGUGAUCUUGAGAGAUGCCGUCUUGGAAUCGGAAAAGAGGCAAGCCUUUUGGUUGAAGGCUUUGUCCCUAAGCCACGUGGAAAGUGGGGGAGGUCAGGCCAGAGCAGAGGUGGCCUUCUCAGGGAGCAGGUGCAGCAGUAGGGCUGGUGGCUGCUGGAAGCCAAGCCAGCAGCUGGCAUGGUGGGAGGACAGGGCAGGCAAGGGCCAGGCAUCCAGCUGGGAUGCGGCAGGGGAGCCGACAGCCGGGAAACACUGUGCAGGGCCAGGACCACACAGGCCUCGGUGGCCGUCAGAGUCGUUCUGGGACCCAAGACACUAAGGGCAGGGUCCAGAGUUUGGUGGUUCCGUUUCAAGCUGAGCUGGAGUGGGAUCCAAGGCAGUUGUGAAUGAGGUAGGAGGAGGUGAGUGGGCGGCUGCCCAGAGGACAGGUGCUUCAGAGGCCAGGUGCAGCUGGCCAGACUGGCUCUCCGGAGGCUUUUCUUGUUUUGCUGUGCAGUGACAAAAAUAGAACACACCUGGCUUGGGGGGGAAGUAGAAGGCAGU
rnacentral:lncRNA from 1 species